rnacentral:RNase_P_RNA from 1 species
CGUAAACGCUGCUUGUUUUAAGUAGAGGAAAGUCCACGCUCACACGGUUCUGUGAUUGAACGUAGUGUUCAUGCAAAGGGAAUAAAUAACCUUUGGUAGGAUUAAUCCUAACGGCGCCGAAGUAACCUAUAGUCCUUGUGAUAUGGUUAUGUUAGGCAUAAAGUGCCAUAGUGACGAUUUUUUUGGGAAACCAAGAAGGUGGAACGAGGGUAAACCCCAUGAGUGAGAAACCCAAAUUUGGUAGGGGAACCCUUACGAAGGAAACGAACGGAGUAAGGGAUGCUAAUUUUAGCAUAGAUAAAUGUUUACGACCAGUUAUGCUGGUACAGAACGUGGCUUAUU